rnacentral:rRNA from 1 species
GAUGAACGCUAGCUACAGGCUUAACACAUGCCAGUCGAGGGGAAACGAUGAGAGAGCUUGCUCUCUUAGGCGUCGACCGGCGCACGGGUGAGUAACGCGUAUCCAACCUACCCAUUACAGGGGGAUAACCUUGCGAAAGUAAGACUAAUACCCCAUGGCAUUUUAUGGUGGCAUCAUUAUAGGAUUAAAGAUUUAUUGGUAAUGGAUGGGGAUGCGUCUGAUUAGCUGGUUGGCGGGGUAACGGCCCACCAAGGCAACGAUCAGGAGGGGUUCUGAGAGGCAGGUACACUGGAAUGGAACCACGGCACGGUCCAAACCCCUACGGGGCGGAGGAGUGAGGAAUGUUGGGCAAGGGGCGAGAGCUUGAACCAGCCAAGUAGCGUGCAGGAGGACGGCGCUAUGAGUUGUAUACUGCUUUUAAAGAGGAAUAGAGUGAGCUACGUGUAGUUUAUUGAAUGUACCCAAUGAAUAAGCACCGGCUAAUUCCGUG